rnacentral:rRNA from 1 species
UAGUGAACCAGUACCGUGAGGGAAAGGUGAAAAGAACCCCGGGAGGGGAGUGAAAUAGAACCUGAAACCGUAAGCUUACAAGCAGACAGAGCGCCAUAGGAGUGUGAUGUCGUACUUUUUGUAGAACGGGCCGGCGAGUUACGAUGUGAUGCGAGGUUAAGUGUCAAAGACACGGAGCCGAAGCGAAAGCGAAUCUGAAGAGGGUGAGAAGUAUCAUGUCGUAGACCCGAAACCGAAUGACCUAACCAUGAGCAGGUUGAAGCAAUGGUAAAACGUUGUGGAGGACCGAACACACGCCUGUUGAAAUAGUCGGUGAUGACUUGUGGUUAGCGGAGAAAUUCCAAACGAAUUCGGAUAUAGCUGGUUCUCCUCGAAAUAGCUUUAGGGCUAGCCUCGCAUAUAAUCCAUGUCGGUAGAGCACUAAAUGGCCUAGGGGGCUUCACAGCCUACCGAAGCUUAUUAAACUCCGAAUGGCAAGGAAUUGAGUGCGGGAGUCAGACAGCGACAGCUAAGUGCCGUUGUCAAAAGGGAAACAGCCCAGAUCUACAGCUAAGGUCCCGAAGUACAGGUUAAGUGGAAAAGGAUGUGACAAUGCAUAGACAACCAGGAUGUUGGCUCAGAAGCAGCCACGCAUUAAAAGAGUGCGUAAUAGCUCACUGGUCGAGUGAUGUUGCGCCGAAAAUUAACGGGGCUCAAACCUGACACCGAAGCUUAGGAAUACGCGAAGCGUAUUGGUAGAGGAGCAAUGUAUACGAGCGGAAGCCGUACCGGAAGGAGCGGUGGAUUGUAUAGAAGAGAGAAUGCCGGCAUAAGUAGCGAGAGCGGAGCGAGAAACUCCGCCGUCGAAAGUCUGAGGUUUUCCGGGGAAGGUUCGUCCACCCGGAGUAAGUCGGGACCUAAGCGGAGGCCGAAAGGCGUACGUGAUGGACAACAGGUUGAUAAUCCUGUACUACCGAGAGAGUUAAUGAAGCAGUGACACGGAAAGAUAGAAGAAGCGCGCAGAUGGAAAAGCGCGUCCAAGCAGUGAGGGAGGCUUGUAGUAAAGUACGCAAGUCAUAAUCCUGGGCUGUGACGGGGAGUGGACCAAGGAAACGAAGUCUUUGAAUCUACGCCGGCGAGAAAAGCUGCUAAAUGUUUCGAGGUACCCGUACCGCAAACCGACACAGGUAGACGAGAAGAAAAUUCUAAGACGAACGGGAGAACCCUUGUUAAGGAACUCGGCAAAAUGACCCCGUAACUUCGGGAGAAGGGGAGCCACAGAGAUGUGGCCGCAGUGAAGAGGCCCAAGCGACUGUUUAUCAAAAACACAGGUUUCUGCUAAGGCGUAAGCCAAGGUAUAGGAGCUGACUCCUGCCCAGUGCCGGAAGGUCAAGGGGAUCCGUCAGCGCAAGCGAAGCGGUGAACUUAAGCCCCGGUGAACGGCGGCCGUAACUAUAACGGUCCUAAGGUAGCGAAAUUCCUUGUCGGGUAAGUUCCGACCCGCACGAAUGGCGUAACGAUUUGGGCACUGUCUCAACAGGGGGCCCGGCGAAAUUGUAGUAUACGUGAAGAUGCGUAUUAACCCGCGACUGGACGGAAAGACCCCGUAGAGCUUUACUGUAACUUGAUAUUGAAUCUCGGCAAUUGAUGCACAGAAUAGGUGGGAGACUGAGAAGCAGGUGUUUCGGCAUCUGUGGAGUCAACUUUGGGAUACCACUCUUCGAUUGCUGCGAUUCUAACCGGGACCGUUGAAGCACGGCUCGGGACAUUGUCAGGUGGGCAGUUUGACUGGGGCGGUCGCCUCCUAAAGUGUAACGGAGGCGCCCAAAGGUUCCCUCAGAAUGGUUGGAAAUCAUUCGGCGAGUGUAAAGGCAAAAGGGAGCUUAACUGUGAGACAGACAUGUCGAACAGAUGCGAAAGCAGGGCUUAGUGAUCAGGUGGUAUGAGAAUGGAAUUGCCAUCGCUUAACGGAUAAAAGUUACCUCGGGGAUAACAGGCUUAUCUCCCCCAAGAGUUCACAUCGACGGGGAGGUUUGGCACCUCGAUGUCGGCUCG